AGCGAACGUUUGCGGCGGGCUUAACACAUGCAAGUCGAACGAGAAUCCCUUCGGGGAGGAAAGUGGCGCACGGGUGCGUAACACGUGGAUAACCAACCCAUUGGUUUGGGACAACACCGGGAAACUGGUGCUAAUACCAGAUGUGUCGCAGCUGUCUUCAGGCGGUUGCGAGAAAGGCCCGCAAGGGUCGCCAACGGACGGGUCCGCGUCCCAUCAGCUAGUUGGUGAGGUAAUGGCUCACCAAGGCAAAGACGGGUAGCUGGUCUGAGAGGAUGAUCAGCCACACUGGAACUGAGACACGGUCCAGACUCCUACGGGAGGCAGCAGUGGGGAAUAUUGCGCAAUGGGCGAAAGCCUGACGCAGCCACGCCGCGUGAGCGAUGAAGGUCUUCGGAUCGUAAAGCUCUGUGGGGGGAGAAGAAGAAAGCCGGUGAAGAGCCGGCCCUGACGGUAUCCCCUUAGCAAGCACCGGUUAACUCCGUGCCAGCAGCCGCGGUAAAGUCUGU
rnacentral:rRNA from 1 species